AAAAUUUUCCCGAGGAAUACGUGGAGAGGAAAUCUGAGCAAGAGAGUUUUACACUCCUAAGUGUGGAUAUGAUACCUCUUUUCGUCAUGGAUGUCGUGCUCCCGUGUCAAAAGUUGUCGCUGAAUAUAUUUGAACCUCGUUAUAGGCUGAUGGUAAGAAGGGUAAUGGAAGGAAAUCGUCGGAUGGGAAUGGUUGGUAUAGAUUCCGCAACAGGAUCUGUUUCUGAUUAUGCUUGUGAAGUGGAGAUUCUUGAGUGUGAACCACUUCCUGAUGGACGAUUUUAUUUGGAGGUUGAAGGUCGUCGUAGGUUUCGUAUUCUUCGAUCUUGGGAUCAGGAUGGGUAUCGGGUUGCAGAAGUUCAAUGGAUUCAGGAUUUGCACCCACCAGAAGGGUCACAAGAGAGAGAUGAUUUACAGCAGAUGGUUAGUGGGGCAGCGGAAUUGGCUCAAACAUGGAUAAGGCAUGUGCGAG
rnacentral:misc_RNA from 1 species